AUUGAACACUGGCGGCAGGCUUAACACAUGCAAGUCGAGCGGAGAUGAGGUGCUUGCACCUUAUCUUAGCGGCGGACGGGUGGGUAAUGCUUAGGAAUCUGCCUAUUAGUGGGGGACAACAUUCCGAAAGGAAUGCUAACACCGCAUACGUCCUACGGGAGAAAGCAGGGGAUCUUCGGACCUUGCGCUAAUAGAUGAGCCUAAGUCGGAUAGCUAGUUGGUGGGGUAAAGGCCUACCAAGGCGACGAUCUGUAGCGGGUCUGAGAGGAUGAUCCGCCACACUGGGACUGAGACACGGCCCAGACUCCUACGGGAGGCAGCAGUGGGGAAUAUUGGACAAUGGGCGGAAGCCUGAUCCAGCCAUGCCGCGUGUGUGAAGAAGGCCUUUUGGUUGUAAAGCACUUUAAGCGAGGAGGAGGCUACCUGGAUUAAUACUCUAGGAUAGUGGACGUUACUCGCAGAAUAAGCACCGGCUAACUCUGUGCCAGCAGCCGCCGUAACAC
rnacentral:rRNA from 1 species